GGCAAGCGUUGUCCGGAAUUAUUGGGCGUAAAGCGCGCGCAGGUGGUUCCUUAAGUCUGAUGUGAAAGCCCACGGCUCAACCGUGGAGGGUCAUUGGAAACUGGGGAACUUGAGUGCAGAAGAGGAAAGUGGAAUUCCAAGUGUAGCGGUGAAAUGCGUAGAGAUUUGGAGGAACACCAGUGGCGAAGGCGACUUUCUGGUCUGUAACUGACACUGAGGCGCGAAAGCGUGGGGAGCAAACAGGAUUAGAUACCCUGGUAGUCCACGCCGUAAACGAUGAGUGCUAAGUGUUAGAGGGUUUCCGCCCUUUAGUGCUGCAGCUAACGCAUUAAGCACUCCGCCUGGGGAGUACGGCCGCAAGGCUGAAACUCAAAGGAAUUGACGGGGGCCCGCACAAGCGGUGGAGCAUGUGGUUUAAUUCGAAGCGACGCGAAGAACCUUACCAGGUCUUGACAUCCUCUGACAACCCUAGAGAUAGGGCUUUCCCCUUCGGGGGACAGAGU
rnacentral:rRNA from 1 species